rnacentral:rRNA from 1 species
AGAGUUUGAUCCUGGCUCAGGAUGAACGCUGGCGGCGUGCUUAACACAUGCAAGUCGAACGAUCCUUCGGGAUAGUGGCGGACGGGUGAGUAACGCGUGGGAAUCUGCCCUCAGGAGGGGGAUAACGGCUGGAAACGGCCGCUAAUACCCCAUAUGCCGAGAGGUGAAAUGAAUUUCGCCUGAGGAUGAGCCCGCGUCUGAUUAGCUAGUUGGUGGGGUAAUGGGCUACCAAGGCAACGAUCAGUAGCUGGUCUGAGAGGAUGAUCAGCCACACUGGGACUGAGACACGGCCCAGACUCCUACGGGAGGCAGCAGUGGGGAAUUUUCCGCAAUGGGCGAAAGCCUGACGGAGCAACGCCGCGUGAGGGAUGAAGGCCUCUGGGCUGUAAACCUCUUUUCUCAAGGAAGAAGAUCUGACGGUACUUGAGGAAUAAGCCACGGCUAAUUCCGUGCCAGCAGCCGCGGUAAUACGGGAGUGGCAAGCGUUAUCCGGAAUUAUUGGGCGUAAAGCGUCCGCAGGCGGCCUUGUAAGUCUGUUGUUAAAGCGUGGAGCUCAACUCCAUUUAAGCAAUGGAAACUACAAGGCUGGAGUGUGGUAGGGGCAGAGGGAAUUCCCGGUGUAGCGGUGAAAUGCGUAGAUAUCGGGAAGAACACCAGUGGCGAAGGCGCUCUGCUGGGCCAUAACUGACGCUCAUGGACGAAAGCCAGGGGAGCGAAAGGGAUUAGAUACCCCUGUAGUCCUGGCCGUAAACGAUGAACACUAGGUGUCGGGGGAAUCGUCCCCCUCGGUGUCGUAGCCAACGCGUUAAGUGUUCCGCCUGGGGAGUACGCACGCAAGUGUGAAACUCAAAGGAAUUGACGGGGGCCCGCACAAGCGGUGGAGUAUGUGGUUUAAUUCGAUGCAACGCGAAGAACCUUACCAGGGUUUGACAUCCUGCGAACCCCUGAGAAAUCGGGGGGUGCCUUCGGGAGCGCAGAGACAGGUGGUGCAUGGCUGUCGUCAGCUCGUGUCGUGAGAUGUUGGGUUAAGUCCCGCAACGAGCGCAACCCACGUCUUUAGUUGCCAGCAUUCAGUUGGGCACUCUAGAGAGACCGCCGGUGAUAAACCGGAGGAAGGUGUGGAUGACGUCAAGUCAUCAUGCCCCUUGCAUCCUGGGCUACACACGUACUACAAUGCUACGGACAAAGGGCAGCAAGCUCGCGAGAGUUAGCAAAUCCCAUAAACCGUGGCUCAGUUCAGAUCGUAGGCUGCAACUCGCCUACGUGAAGGAGGAAUCGCUAGUAAUCGCAGGUCAGCAUACUGCGGUGAAUACGUUCCCGGGCCUUGUACACACCGCCCGUCACACCAUGGAAGUUGGCCAUGCCCGAAGUCGUUACUCCAACCCUUGUGGAGGAGGACGCCGAAGGUGGGGCUGAUGACUGGGGUGAAG